rnacentral:lncRNA from 10 species
GGUGCUGUCAGCCUCACUGACCAUGCAUUUAUAAAGCACCAAAGUGCGUGUGAUGCUGCUGGGCACUGGAGAUGGGACCAGGUGCUGCUGCACACGUAUGCACACACCAUGCAUACAUGCACACACACCACACACGCAUGCACACAGUGCACACGUGCACACACCAUGCAUACACACCACACACCGUGCACACGUGCACACACCAUGCAUACACACCACACACAGUGCACACGUGCACAUUACCAUGCAUCCACACACAGUGCACACGUGCACACACUAUGCAUACACAGUGCACACGUGCACACACCAUGCAUACACACCACACACCGUGCACACGUGCACACACCAUGCAUACACACCACACACAGUGCACACGUGCACAUUACCAUGCAUCCACACACAGUGCACACGUGCACACACUAUGCAUACACAGUGCACACGUGCACACACCAUGCAUACACACCACACAGUGCACACGUGCACACACCAUGCAUACACACAGUGCACAC